ACGCUUCUUUUCUACCGAGUGCUUGCACUCACUUGAAAAGAGGAACGCGGACGGGUGAGUAACACGUGGGUAACCUGCCCAUCAGAGGGGGAUAACACUUGGAAACAGGUGCUAAUACCGCAUAAUAGUCGACACCGCAUGGUGUCGAUUUGAAAGACGCUUUCGGGUGUCACUGAUGGAUGGACCCGCGGUGCAUUAGCUAGUUGGUGAGGUAACGGCUCACCAAGGCGAUGAUGCAUAGCCGACCUGAGAGGGUGAUCGGCCACACUGGGACUGAGACACGGCCCAGACUCCUACGGGAGGCGGCAGUAGGGAAUCUUCGGCAAUGGACGAAAGUCUGACCGAGCAACGCCGCGUGAGUGAAGAAGGUUUUCGGAUCGUAAAACUCUGUUGUUAGAGAAGAAUAAGUAGGAGAGUAACUGCUCUUACCUUGACGGUAUCUAACCAGAAAGCCACGGCUAACUACGUGCCAACAGCCGCGGUAAUACGUAGGUGGCAAGCGUUGUCCGGAUUUAUUGGGCGUAAAGCGAGCGCAGGCGGUUUCUUAACUCUGAUGUGAAAGCCCCCGGCUCAACCGGGGGAGGGUCAUUGGAAAACUGGGAACUUG
rnacentral:rRNA from 1 species